rnacentral:rRNA from 1 species
CGUGAGAUGUUGGGUUAAGUCCCGCAACGAGCGCAACCCUUGUCCUUUGUUGCCAGCGGGUAAAGCCGGGAACUCAAAGGAGACUGCCAGUGACAAACUGGAGGAAGGCAGGGAUGACGUUCAAGUCAUCAUGGCCCUUACGGUCAGGGCUACACACGUGCUACAAUGGGGCGUACAGAGGGAAACGAUACCGCGAGGUGGAGUGGAACCCAAAAAGCGUCCCUAAGUUCGGAUUGGAGUCUGCAACUCGACUCCAUGAA